rnacentral:ncRNA from 1 species
AAAUUGCUGCCACCGGGUAGUCGUGCGUAAGAGCACUUGUUCGCAUCGUUAGGUCUUAGAAGAUGCGCGCAGGCGCUCAUUUUUUUG